rnacentral:rRNA from 1 species
UACGAAGGGUGCAAACGUUGCUCGGAAUCAUUGGGCGUAAAGCGCACGUAGGCGGCCUUGUAAGUCGGACGUGAAAUCCCUCGGCUCAACCGAGGAAGUGCAUCCGAAACUGCGAGGCUCGAGUAUGGAAGAGGGUCGCAGAAUUCCCGGUGUAGAGGUGAAAUUCGUAGAUAUCGGGAGGAAUACCAGUGGCGAAGGCGGCGACCUGGGCCAAUACCGACGCUGAGGUGCGAAAGCGUGGGGAGCAAACAGG